rnacentral:misc_RNA from 1 species
GGUUGCUGCAAUAACAUAUGAAGUUAAAAUUCCAAUUAUACUGGUUACUAAUCUAAAAUUUGUUUGAAUAGCAUGAACUAAUAAAAGAGCAAUAAAGAUUACCAAAAAAAUAAAACCUGUAGAAACCAAUUGGCCAUUUACACAGAUCUUACAAUUUCAUUUAAUCACAUUUCAUUCCUUACAAAUUAAUCAUGAAUUGAUCAGCUAUAUUUCUUUAAUGAAAUUCAGGUAUUUUCACUAUCCAAAAGGUUGCGUUACCUAAGUUCACAUCACAUGGAUAUAGAUAAUGGUUUC